rnacentral:rRNA from 1 species
GACGUAGGGGGCCAGCGUUGUUCGGAAUUACUGGGUGUAAAGGGUUCGUAGGCGGUGUGGCAAGUCGGGAGUGAAAUCUCUGGGCUCAACCCAGAGACUGCUUCCGAAACUGCUGUGCUUGAGUGUGAGAGAGGCUCGUGGAAUUGCAGGUGUAGCGGUGAAAUGCGUAGAUAUCUGCAGGAACACCCGUGGCGAAAGCGGCGAGCUGGAUCACUACUGACGCUGAGGAACGAAAGCUAGGGGAGCGAACAGG